GAUUCCCCGUCGCUUCAUCCUGGAUCCUGCCAUGGUGGCUGCUUUCCACCGCUCCCGGUGGCGGGCUGCUGUUGGGCCGCCUGGGGGCGUCCCUUGAGGGGGGGGUACUGUCAUGGUUCUGUGUGUCUGAGUUUUGCAGGCAGGGUUGAGCAGGUUGCCAUGGGGAUGAAGGGCGGAGGCUGGAGCCACAAUUGAUCCCACCUGCAGCGCAUCAGCACCUUCGUUAGCCAGCUUACCUCCCAGCUAUUUAAGAUCAUGCAGGAGCUCCAGUCUUCGCCAGAUUGUCACACUUUACUGCGUGCCUUAGACCUUGCUACCUUGGAUCACCACAGCACCUUGGAUAAAGACUGUCCCUCAUGCCAAGUCGACUGCCUGCCUGCUCGCCCUGCCUGCAAACAAACUCAUUCCACCUCCACCAGCAACCAUCACCUGGCUUACUCCUCCACCGUCAGUCUUCCUCUGGAAUACAGAAGAUCUUCCCGGACCUGGACUAAGCCACUAACAUUUAUUAUAAAUAAACAUUGUUUGCAUCUC